ACUACUAGCCGUUCAGUUUCUUUAAAACAGGAUGCCAUUGGCGUCUCCAGACAAAAUACACAGUGGAAAUUAAAGCUGUUCCUUGGGGAACAAAAUAAAUCAAAGAAGAGAAGGAAGAAGAAGACGAGAAGAAGAAAGUCAGAGAGAAAAUGUUUAUGCUUCUUCAUUGAUUCCCAGUCUCGGCAGGGAUGAGUAACCCCUUCUGAUCCUACGAGUUAUCGUUUUCAAGAUGAAGCCGCGCCAGUUUUUCAGCAAAGUUACAUGACAAGACAUUGAAAAUGAUCAUUUUUGGCGGCUUCUUUUGAUGGCUGCCCUUCCCAGGAAAAAAGAAGCUUCACCAUUCCGUUAACAAACCAAUAUUUUUGUAUUGUCACAGGUGUGGCUAGCCUUCUUCAUGAUGUGCAGAUUAGAUUAGUUCAUUAAACUAUGUAAUGGGCAAUAAGAAAACAUGAAUGAAAUUUGUGAAAGAAGAUCGCCAAACGAUUACGUGAUCUUUAUUCAAAAUCUUCUUACACGAAGUAUUUAGUGUUGGUGGCAUCGGCGAGCAUCGGCGAGAGACGUGAGUGGCAAACCAUGAGCUACUUAAGUCAUGCCCGGAAGGAUGCUGUCCUUAAGAACUAUUUCAGCACAUCAAGACAACGGACCAGCAGUUUUUCAGGAUUAAACAAGCACUUCCUGCGGCAGAGCAAGGGAACAGAACAAUAGAAACUAAAUAACAAGCAUAGGCGAACAGACGAUCACAAGCAAAAGGCAGAGGGAGGAGAGAAUUGCCGUGAAAACUCAAGAGGCUGGUACCGUUUUCUGUCAGCACCCAGGGCUAUAUAUAGCCCGAAGAUGGAGACACAAAGCUGGCUCAUAAUCACCGGUUAAUGCUUCGGUUACACACAUAUUAAACAAUAAAACGUACAUGGAUUAAUGCUUCAGUUACACACGCUUCAAGUAGCAAAAUGCACACGUCCAUUAAUUCGGAGACGUUUAGUGGACAAAAUAUUUAUUAAUUUGGAGACGUUUGGCAAACAAAACAUUUAAGACAUUAUUCACAAAAUUGAUUUUUAGAAGAGGUUUAAUGCCCAAAAACUGUCAAGGCCUCAAGUUCAAAUUCAAAACAGUAAAAUCAGAUGUUUUUCGAAUAAGUUAAAAAUAAUUAAAUUAUUUUUGUAAAAAUAAUCCGGUAAAAGGAACCCAGUGUCUUUUGAACUCGCGUGCAGAGGGGGCGAAUUAGCUGAUUUCAACUACGAUUGCCUUGAGUUGGCUUGUCUCAUGUGCGCGAGGCCACUUAUCCUCCAAGCCCAUUUUACUAGCCCACUUCAUUCCUUAGUAUAUCACUAGGAGAUUCUUUCUUUUAAUCAAUGUGGGACUUUGACACACACACACGCUUUUGACACACAUACAACAAUCCCCUAUAUGUGUCAAAAGGAUCUAUGUUCAUCUGUGUUAUUCACAUGGAGGAUAAUCAUUUCGAAUUUAGUGUCUGUCGACUUGAACCAAACCUAGACUAAUAAUUAUUGAACUUAGCACACAGAAAAGUCGAUGUAAUUUACUAUUGAACCAACUGAUCUUGACACACACACACUUUUGACGCACGUACAACAAUAUCCCACAUGUGUCAAAAGGAUCUAUGUUCAUCUGUGUUAUUCACAUGGAGGAUAAUCACUUCGAAUUUGGUGUCUGUUGACUUGAUCCAAACCUAGACUAAUAAUUAUUGAACUUAGCACACAGAAAAGUUGGUGUAAUUUUAUUAUUGAACCAACUGAUCUUAAGUAUGUGUUAGAGGUCUUAUUAAUUGGAUUAUCCCCACGGUCUUUGCUGUUAACGACGGUUUUGCACGUUAUCGGCCAUGUGCACGCCUAGUUUUAACACAUGCUCUAAAGAUUUCACCACAAUCUUAUAGGAGCGGCCCCACUCCAUAUUUAUAUAGGUAUUUUUAUCAAGUGUAUCUGCAAUAAAUAUGCCAUCCAUAAGGACUAUGAAAACAUUAAGAGCUUUCACUCAGCCUCCGUUCAAUGCAUUCUAACACUUGUUCUUACCCAUUGAACCUUAUUCAUGUG